rnacentral:rRNA from 1 species
AUUGAACGCUGGCGGCAUGCCUUACACAUGCAAGUCGAACGGUAACAGGUCUUCGGAUGCUGACGAGUGGCGAACGGGUGAGUAAUACAUCGGAACGUGCCCGAUCGUGGGGGAUAACGAAGCGAAAGCUUUGCUAAUACCGCAUAAGAGCUACGGAUGAAAGCAGGGGACCGACAGGCCUUGCGCGAACGGAGCAAAAAAUGGAAGAUUAGGUAGUUGUUUUGUGAAAAGCUUACCAAGCCGACGAUCUGUAGCUGGUCUGAGAGGAAGACCAGCCACACUGGGACUGAGACACGGCCCAGACUCCUACGGGAGGCAGCAGUGGGGAAUUUUGGACAAUGGGCGAAAGCCUGAUCCAGCCAUGCCGCGUGCAGGAUGAAGGCCUUCGGGUUGUAAACUGCUUUUGUACGGAACGAAAAGACUCUUUCAAAUAAAGAGGGUCCAUGACGGUACCGUAAGAAUAAGCACCGGCUAACUACGUGCCAGCCGCCGCAGUAAUAC